rnacentral:rRNA from 1 species
AUGCAAACAGUAGGAUUUACAUUCAGUGAUGAACUGUACCACAUGAAGAAUAUAGCUGCAGGAGUUGAGAGAGAGCAUGCACUAGAACUGAUUGAGACAAACAUCAAGUUGCAAGAACUAAAGAAACAGUAUGAGGAUUCAUUAGUUCUGAAUUUGUUAGUGAGGGCAACAACACCUAUCAGUCCAGGAUUUGUUAGUGAGGGCAACAUCAAUCACAGAGUAGAUGAAUUAGCUACAGUCUUAUAUGAACCACCUGCUGUGUAUGAUCUCAGUGAUCCUGGUGUUCUUGCUGUUGAUGAUCAUGGUAUAGUUUUUCACAGUCAGUGCAGCAGAAGUACUAUGCAACCUACUCAACAUACUGUGCACACAAGAGAGUAG